AGUCAAGCCCCAGUGGUGGCAACUCCUGGGGGUCCCCAGGCCACCGUGUGUGCCCCCAGCCUCCGGCACCAGCCACGGCACAAGGACUUAGGACUUUACCCUCCUUCCCCGGGGGUCAGCAUCCCUCCCCACGGGGUUUCAGUUAUAUUUGAUUGCAGAAAUACCACCGAAAUCAGGGGGUUUCGUGGAGUUUUUCACUUCGCAGAAGCUCCUUAUUUUCACGGAAAGCAAACGCGUUUGUGCUCUGGAGCAACGACCAAGAAUGCAUUGCAUUUUUUACUGAGAAAAUGUUAACAAAGACAUACAGGAUGAAGGGAAAGGAGGUGAAACGGGGUAGGCGGCAGAUCGCUUGUGCAGAGCUGGAGGGAUUUCUGCUUUUCUCAGCUCCCCUAACCUGAGAGAUGCUCUGUGAGCUGGGCCGAGCUCCUGCGAGGGCACUGGCAGCCAGAGCAUCCCAUGGGGUGUAUUUUCCUGGUGGAAAUAGCACAAAAAUAUCCAGAGUGCCUAUCUUUAGAAGAUAAAAUGAUUGCUGUGAUGACGACAGCUGGGGAAAGCCCCUGAGCUUGCACAGCAUCUCUCCGGGGAAGCAGGAGAUGCAGCCGAUAGCGUCGGGCUGAAUUUGCACCCUGAAUAACCUGUGGGCACGGCUGCAGCCCAUUCUGCCCUGGCAAGACUUGCUGAACCGCUGCAAAAACUCCUCAAACCCGAUGGGACCUGUGCAGAGAAAGGCGAUAUGAGGAGCACAGGAUGAAAUAUUUUGAACGCAUGAGAACAGAAGACCCACUUCUGCCAAGACCUGAAAAAUAUUGUUUCUGAAAGUGAAGCAGACCCUGCUAUUUGAGUUAUGGACCCAAAACCUGCAGAGGCACAGGAGCAUUUG